rnacentral:lncRNA from 1 species
AAAUAUCCGCAUCAUGUAUAUAAGUAGCCUAUGUAUCUAAUAUGCCUGUCAUUGUAUAUAAUAAGCCUGUCAUUUUCUUCUUAUUUGGGACAAAAAUUAUUUCAGAACGUAGCAUCCUAAAAUUCCAUUCCUAAGGUUCCGAUCACUGGCUCAAGUGGGAUCUGCCCAUGGUCUGCUUUUCUUCCCUUGUCAAAGCUGACUUUCCCACUCUCUAACCUUACACAGUAAACAAAAAGAUGGAAAAGUUUACGAAAGAGCGAGUGGACGAGUGGUGGCAGCAGCAAUGCAGUGGUGAUGGGUCUUGUGAAGACAUUAUGUCCAGCCACUUCCAACAACAAUUCAGCAUUGCAGAUGCAAUGAACUCUGCUGGAGCAUCUAAAGGUCUGCAGAAGAAGAUUAUUAUGGCUGGAGGAAUUAUAAAGGGGAAACUAAGCUAAAGAGUGAUGCAAAUCAACAGUAGAAGAGCCACCACUGCUGGAAAGCUGAGUGAGCAGCAGUAAGAGUAGUUCCUUUCUUGCUGGGAAGAUGAAGGGAGCACUCCAGCUAUGUUUACUUGUAGCAGCUGUCAGAAUAAAAUAGCAGCAAUAUAUACA